rnacentral:misc_RNA from 1 species
AUGUAGAGGAACAAGAAAGUAGCGAUGAACUCGGCAAUCCCAGCCCUGUAGAAGGACCAUGAGCUGAGCUCACCUGGCUCAAACAAGGGAGCAGGUGGUGGCUCCUUGUAGUCCUUAUCAGUCUGGGCUGAUGUCCCUAUGGGUUGUCUCUCUGUGAAUUUGUUUGCUCCUAGUCUAACAUCCUCUUCCUUGCCCUCCAUUGCUCU